GACGGAGGGUGCAAGCGUUGUUCGGAUUGACUGGGCGUAAAGGGCGUGUAGGCGGUCGGCCAAGUCUGAUGCGAAAGCCCGAGGCUCAGCCUCGGAAGUGCGUCGGAAACUAGUCGGCUGGAGCGCGAUAGAGGAGGGUGGAAUUCCUGGUGUAGCGGUGAAAUGCGUAGAUAUCAGGAGGAACACCGGCGGCGAAGGCGGCCCUCUGGAUCGUUGCUGACGCUGAUACGCGAAAGCGUGGGGAGCAAACAGG
rnacentral:rRNA from 1 species